rnacentral:lncRNA from 1 species
CACCAAACCAAGGCUCAAAUGUGUCCAGAAGGGACCUUCCCCGGGGAAAGUUACCUGCCUUCUGUUAGGAUUUUCACUGGGAUAUUUUUAGAUGUUUCUAAGGAAAUUCGUUGAACGUUGUGACCAAGUAGGCAGAUCUCUCAGAGGCGUUUUGCUGGCUGCUACUAAACUGGGAAUUUUUCAUUUAGUGUUUAGGCAUCCAAGGGGUCACACUGACCCUUAGGGGAGCUGACUUCAUUUGCCUGCAGCUCUUCAGCCUUUCAUUUUCUUCCUGUCAGCAAGGAUCGAGUGAACCCUUCUCUGUUCCUAAUUUGAUUCCUCUGUCUCCUAGCUCCCUUCUUCUUGAACCUGCUGGGCCCCCAGUGACCACUCCCCCGGGGUUUCAGGCCGCCUUUGACUCAGCAGUACUGGGACUUCAGAGUCCAGAUCAUUAGGAUGCCAUGCCCAGCAAGGCACAGUGGCUAACACACCUUAAUCCCAACAACUCCAGGGGCUGGGGCAGGAGGAUUGCAAUUUCGAGACCACCUGGGCAAUUUAGGGAGACUAUAUCUCAUAAAAAGGGCUGGGGCUGUGGUUCAGUGGUGCGGUUCCCCUAGGUUCAAUCCCCAGUAUCACAAAAGAAAAAAAAAACAAAAACGUAGGAGCGUGGCCAUGCUCCUGCCUUAUUUUGAGAUGCUGACUUUCAGACCCCAGCUGGUGCUAUGAGGAGACUGGCAGGAGUGGAUGGAUCCCUGUACACCUGCAGUCUGGGACUACAACUCCUGGGAGACAGGCAGGGCUUUCUAAGAUCAUCAAGAUGAGGUUAUUCCAGACUGGGAUGGCCCCUAAUCCCAGAUGAUUGAUGUCUUUGUAAGAAGAGCGUUUUAAACUCAGAGGUAGAAGACCACGUGGAAAUGGAGAUGAGAGUGAGAUAGCUCCAACUGAAGGACCUCAGGGAUCCUGAAGAUUUAAUAGCUUGGAAAAGGCAGGAAGGAGUCUCCCCUAGUCUUCAGAGAGUGUGUGGCCCUGCUGACACUGAGACCUCAGAUUUCUG